GAUGAACGCUGGCGGCGUGCCUAAUACAUGCAAGUCGAGCGAAGCGGGGAAGGGUGAGUAACACGUGGAUAACCGCCUAUAAGGCUGGGAUAAACUAGGGAAACCGGAGCCAAACCCGAUACUUAUCGAUGGAUCGUCGCUGCAUUAGCUAGUUGGUAAGGUAACGGCUUACCAAGGCAACGAUGCAUAGCCGACCUGAGAGGGUGAGCGGCCACACUGGAACUGAGACACGGUCCAGACUCCUACGGGAGGCAGCAGUAGGGAAUCUUCCGCAAUGGGCGAAAGCCUGACGGAGCAACGCCGCGUGUGUGAUGAAGGUCUUCGGAUCGUAAAACUCUGUUAUUAGGGAAGCGGUACCUAAUCAGAAAGCCACGGCUAACUACGUGCCAGCAGCCGCGGUAAUAC
rnacentral:rRNA from 1 species